UUUUGUUGGCAGAAACUUCUCAUUGCAACUGCGGAGCUGGUUCUGCCUAUGUGACAACAUGACUACUACGGCUGAUGAUACUAUUUCAUCCCGUAAGCACAACCGACCUUGUCAGCAUUUACCUCUAUCAUUACUUGACACACUCUUUGCCCAUUACCAAACUUUGAAUUUACAUAGGUUUCAGAUGAUGUUGGAGCUGCAACUAGC
rnacentral:lncRNA from 1 species